rnacentral:snRNA from 1 species
GUGCUCACUUUGGCAGCACAUAUACUAAAAUUGGAACAAUACAGAUAAGAUUAGCAUGGCCCCUGCGCAAGGAUAACACGCAAUUCAUGGAGCAUUCCAUAUUUUU